rnacentral:rRNA from 1 species
GACGAACGCUGGCGGCGUGCUUAACACAUGCAAGUCGAACGAAGAGCGAUGGAAGCUUGCUUCUAUCAAUCUUAGUGGCGAACGGGUGAGUAACGCGUAAUCAACCUGCCCUUCAGAGGGGGACAACAGUUGGAAACGACUGCUAAUACCGCAUACGAUCUAAUCUCGGCAUCGAGGAUAGAUGAAAGGUGGCCUCUACAUGUAAGCUAUCACUGAAGGAGGGGAUUGCGUCUGAUUAGCUAGUUGGAGGGGUAACGGCCCACCAAGGCGAUGAUCAGUAGCCGGUCUGAGAGGAUGAACGGCCACAUUGGGACUGAGACACGGCCCAGACUCCUACGGGAGGGAGCAGUGGGGAAUCUUCCGCAAUGGAGGAAAGGCUGACGGAGCAACGCCGCGGGAGUGAUGACGGCCUUCGGGUUGUAAAGCUCUGUUAAUCGGGACGAAAGACCUUCUUGCGAACAGUUAGAAGGAUUGACGGUACCGGAAUAGAAAGCCACGGCUAACUACGUG